GAGACUGCCAGUGAUAAACUGGAGGAAGGUGGGGAUGACGUCAAGUCAUCAUGGCCCUUACGACCAGGGCUACACACGUGCUACAAUGGCAUAUACAAAGAGAAGCGACCUCGCGAGAGCAAGCGGACCUCAUAAAGUAUGUCGUAGUCCGGAUUGGAGUCUGCAACUCGACUCCAUGAAGUCGGAAUCGCUAGUAAUCGUAGAUCAGAAUGCUACGGUGAAUACGUUCCCGGGCCUUGUACACACCGCCCGUCACACCAUGGGAGUGGGUUGCAAAAGAAGUAGGUAGCUUAACCUUCGGGAGGGCGCUUACCACUUUGUGAUUCAUGACUGGGGUGAAGUCGUAACAAGGUAACCGUAGGGGAACCUGCGGUUGGAUCACCUCCUUA
rnacentral:rRNA from 1 species